AUAUAACCAAAUGAAAUCAAUUAUAUGAAAGAUAUUUUAUAUCAUAAUCUAGAUGGUAAUAUUUCUUUCCACCAUGUAGGACGUUCUAAAUUCUCUUUAUUUUGGAAAAUCUUCUCCUGGAUAUGUUUAUAUACCUGUUAAUACAUUUAAAAUUAACAAAUUAGAAUCACUUUUACUAAGUAAAUUACAUGAAAUAAUUGAUCAUAAACGUACAUUCCCAUCGGCCAUUCCUAGUGGAGAAUUAACAAUAUAAUCAGGCGGUGCUAAUACAUCUACUAAAGCUACAGCAUCUUCCAAUAAAUCUUUGCACAACGUUAUAAUACCUUGUCGCAAUUUAUCGCUUAUAUUACUAUCGACUGAUGCAUAACCACCAGCAUACAGAUCUACCAAUCUCUUCUCCAAAGUCGUUGAUCCAAACAAAGAACACAACUUUCUAAGUACCUCAUAUUCUUCUGUUCUCCAAAUAGGUUCUUUUAUACAAUCGAUGAAAGUUUUAAGUAAAACAUACUAUGGAAACAAUAUUCAAAACAAUUAGAAUCGAAUUUGGGGUAUAAUAAAACAUAAAUAAAAUAAUUUCAUACUUCUCCAUAUACAAGAGAUAAUGUUCGUGCAAAAAAUAAUUGUGAAUUGUUUCGUAUCAUAAAAUCAGUAUAUCCGUUUUUCUUAAGACCUUGUACAUGUUCAUAAGUUUUUUUUAAAUAAUAACAUAAUAACCAUUGAAAUGAAAAUAAUAAGUCUGAAAUAAAAGAAAUAAAUUUCAUUAGAACAGGAAUUAGGCGGUAACGUGAUAGAUUUAUAAAAUUUCAAAAUCAAUAAUAUUAUAUAUAUAAUAAGAAAUGUAUAUAUAAUUAUUUUCAUACUUUCAGGACUUAUCGUUUUUUCGACUGUGGUGCAAUUAAAUUUUUGUUUUAGGAUAUAUUUACUAUCUUCUAAAAAAUCUAUUGUUCCAAGUGGAGAUGAAAUAGUUUUCCCAUUUAACAGACAAGACCAUUGAUUCAACAACCAGUUACUUGAUUGUUGAAUAAGUACAUUGUUUUCACCUUCACCACUCUUCAUUUUCCGAUGGACCGAAUUGUUUUCUAACCGCGCAAUAUCGUAAUGCUAUGACCAGUGCAAGAUUAAGAAAAUUCGAACAUAUCCAUGUAAUAUUAAAACGUCCUAUUGAUAAUGCGCCAAAUGAUGCACCUAGAAAUAAUGUAAAUGGAUGAUACGUAUUGUCCAUCUUUAGUAACAUCGGCUGUUCGAUUUAAUAAAUAUGUACGUGGAAUAUGAUAAUUAUUAAAUAUUACAAAACCAUUGUCCACCCCAUUAAGUGAAAUUUUUUCGCCUAAAUCUCCAACAGUUACACCGGGCAAUGGUAAAUGGGUAUCAAGAUCUCGUAUAGGUACAAUAAAAGAAUGAAGACCAUGAUUUAUUCCAUCUGGCGUAAUCAAUUGUGCAAAAAGAAUGGCAUGUGUAGCAGUCUUUCCUAUAAUUAUUAAAAGUUUAACAUUAAUUAAUUACAAUAUAUCAUAAUAUUUAAGUAUAUCUAUAUGUACCUAAACCACCAAUCCAACAUUUUGCAGCUUCAAAAUCUGGUGAAUGUAAACAGAAGGUUUGUCUAUUCACAUCAUAUGUUGCAGUAGUUCUCAUACCUUUAACGUUCGUUCCAUGAGAUAUUUCGGUUAAAGCAAAGACACCUAAAUACUGAAUUAACACUUAUUAAAAUUUCUUACGCAACCAUAAUAUUUUUUUUAUUUUGAUACAUACUUUAUUAUUUAAGAAUUUGUGCAGAAUAUCCAUAUGACGUUCUGUACCUAAAGAGAGAAUAGUAUUUGGAACCAUUGCGUGCAUGACAUUCAUUUUGAUUGGAAUCGACGGAUCAUAUUGAAAAAGUAUAUUUAUCCAACCUUUAUAUUCAAUUGGCUAUAAUGUUGAUAUUUCAAUAUAAUACAUCAUAAUAUAUUAAAUACAUUAUUAAUGAAGAAAUAUUUGUUUUAUUUUUAUAAAUAAAUAUACUUACAUGAAUUUCAUUCUCUAGAAGAGCACGAAUUCGAGCUGUACAAAUUCUACGACUUUCGUCCAAUGAUGAUGAAGUAUAAUUUACGUUAAAUAGUGGAUUGUCCUUAAUAAAUGACCAUAUUUUGUUCUACAAAUAUAUUAUUUUUUUCAAUUAACUUUUCCCAAUAAGAUUAAAAAUUCUGUUGUUAUAUUUACCUGACAUAUGAUACCUUCUUCUCCUUCUAAAUUUAGCUUCAAUAAUUUCCAAUCAAACCUAGCACGUAUUCUAUACUUAUCCAAAGGACCUUUGGGUAAAUCAUUUAUCAAAUUCUUUAACUUUGAUACUUGCAUUGUAUAUUAUAAAUAUUUUUAAGCUAUAACAAACAAUUCAAAUUAAAAAUUGUAU